rnacentral:rRNA from 1 species
CAGCCGCCGCGGGAAUACGUAGGUGGCAAGCGUUAUCCGGAAUUAUUGGGCGUAAAGCGCGCGUAGGCGGUUUUUUAAGUCUGAUGUGAAAGCCCACGGCUCAACCGUGGAGGGUCAUUGGAAACUGGAAAACUUGAGUGCAGAAGAGGAAAGUGGAAUUCCAUGUGUAGCGGUGAAAUGCGCAGAGAUAUGGAGGAACACCAGUGGCGAAGGCGACUUUCUGGUCUGUAACUGACGCUGAUGUGCGAAAGCGUGGGGAUCAAACAGGAUUAGAUACCCCCGUAGUCCCUGUCUCUUAUAC